UACGUAGGGUGCAAGCGUUAAUCGGAAUUACUGGGCGUAAAGCGUGCGCAGGCGGUGAUGUAAGACGGAUGUGAAAUCCCCGGGCUCAACCUGGGAACUGCAUUUGUGACUGCAUCGCUGGAGUGCGGCAGAGGGGGAUGGAAUCCGCGUGUAGCAGUGAAAUGCGUAGAUAUGCGGAGGAACACCGAUGGCGAAGGCAAUCCCCUGGGCCUGCACUGACGCUCAUGCACGAA
rnacentral:rRNA from 1 species